rnacentral:rRNA from 1 species
UACAGAGGUCCCAAGCGUUGUUCGGAUUCAUUGGGCGUAAAGGGUGCGUAGGUGGCGCCGUAAGUCGGGUGUGAAAUUUCGGAGCUUGACUCCGAAACUGCAUUCGAUACUGCGGUGCUUGAGGACUGGAGAGGAGACUGGAAUUCAUGGUGUAGCAGUGAAAUGCGUAGAGAUCAUGAGGAAGACCAGUGGCGAAGGCGGGUCUCUGGACAGUUCCUGACACUGAGGCACGAAGGCCAGGGGAGCAAACGGG